rnacentral:rRNA from 1 species
CCCUUAGAUGUCCUGAGCUGCACGCGCGCUACACUGAUGUGUCCAGUAAGCACCUAACCUAUUCCGAGAGGAGCGGGUAACCUUAGCAAAGCACAUCGUGAUGGGGAUAGAUUAUUGCAAUUAUUAGUCUUGAACGAGGAAUUCCUAGUAAGCACAAGUCAUCAGCUUGUGUUGAUUACGUCCCUGCCCUUUGUACACACCGCCCGUCGCUCCUACCGAUUGAAUGUUCCGGUGAGCUCUUCGGACUGCGCGGUCUGCAGUUUCUGCGUUCCGUGCGGAAAGUUGUGCAAACCUUAACAUUUAGAGGAAGGAGAAGUCGUAACA